rnacentral:rRNA from 1 species
UACAGAGGGAGCGAGCGUUGUUCGGAAUUACUGGGCGUAAAGGGCGCGUAGGCGGCCUGCUAAGUCAUACGUGAAAUCCCUCGGCUCAACCGGGGAACUGCGUGUGAUACUGGCGGGCUUGAAUCCGGGAGAGGAAUGCGGAAUUCCAGGUGUAGCGGUGAAAUGCGUAGAUAUCUGGAGGAACACCGGUGGCGAAGGCGGCAUUCUGGACCGGCAUUGACGCUGAGGCGCGAAAGCCAGGGGAGCAAACGGG